UGUGCUGUGCUGUGCUGUGCUGUGCUGUGCUGUGCUGUGCUGUGCUGUGCUGUGAAAUGAUGUGAUGUGAUGUGAUGCAAGCUCAGCAAAGAGCCAGUGCCCCUGAGCCAAUUGAGAUGGCUUCAGACAUCUGAUCAGGAUGCCUUCUGGGCGCCUGGGUAUCUCUUAGGAGAUGGUAAACAUUGCUGGGGAGAGCCCUGCUUGUUCUGCUGCUACCACGACCCGGCCCUAGUUAAGGGUAAGAAAACUGAUGUAUUGAUGGAUGCUGUGCUGUGCUGUUAUGCAAUGUGUCUCCAAUGUGUUUCUUUCAAGCUCCUCUCUGGCAGAUGAGAAAAGAAAUUUUGGACAACAGCCCAGUGAAAAAAUAGUAAUGGUAAAAAAUAGUUACAGGCUACUGUAAUUAGAGUCCUGUGUAAUUAUCCUCAAUACCAGGGGGUAACAAAAUAAAGGAGGUAAGUAAGAUGAAUCUUCCAUGUAGCUCAUCAUAGUGGAAUAUGGGAUGGGUUCAUCCAUUUGGUAAGAGCAUCACCAUGACAUGAUUGAGUCUCUUCGCAACAUAAUUGCCCUAUGGUACAGCUGGAAUAUUAAAAGGACUUCAGAAUCUAAUACGAAAAGAAGACGCCUGAGGACCUCAAUAGGACACACAAGAUGCUGCACAGUCCCAGGAUAACAACACAGAUGAGUCAAACGAAGAUGAGGGAACAGUUCCAAGACGAGUGGCAGGAGUCCAGCCACGCAGACAUGCCUGUCACAUUAUGCUUUUAAACAAUGUGAGCAUAAAGCUGCCAGAGGACCUGACUAAACACUCCAUUCAAAGAGGCUGGGGAUGGGCAACACUCGGGGCAGUGCCACUGACGCAGAAGAACAUGUCUACAAUAUUUAGCACGAUCAAAAAGAGUGCCUCAAAUAAAAAGUCAAAAUACGAAAAAUAUGUCUCUGUUUACGAAGUCUUUUUGUUUAACUUUGGGUUUGAGAAUAUGAUAUAACCCUAACAAAUUAAGACCCUUUGCUCAAAAAUGUGCAACAUUGUGCCAUCUGUACUCAGUGUUGUUAUUCAGAAUAUGUAUGACUUCUCAAAACGUUUACUGCUGUCAUCACAUUCUACUAAUUUCAGAUAAUCAGAAAAUCAGUCUUGUGUCUCAAAGUGAUGAGUUGACUAAAUGAUCUGUAUCAAAACAAAGCAGAUGAUGAUAAAGAUAGGUAACUGCUCACUGAAUUUGUUCUCUACAGUCAUAAGCCGUCGUUGUGGUGGUUUGAAAUUAGUUCUGAUGGUAAUUGCAUGGAUAACUUCACAAGACAUCAGACUUGACAUUGAUUUGCUGGAGACAUAAUAAACAUCGACAUUUAUUUGUUAUAUUUAUACACCUUUUUAUAUGUUGAAACUUUAUGUUAGUACUGCACAAAACAUGAUUCCACACAUAAUGAACAAGCACUCCACUUCCUUUACUAGGGUUUUACUCCAUU